UACGUAGGGUGCGAGCGUUAAUCGGAAUUACUGGGCGUAAAGGGCUCGUAGGCGGCCAACUAAGUCAGACGUGAAAUCCCUCAGCUUAACUGGGGAACUGCGUCUGAUACUGGAUGGCUUGGAUCCGGAAGAGGGAUGCGGAAUUCCAGGUGUAGCGGUGAAAUGCGUAGAUAUCGAGAGGAACACCAGUGGCGAAGGCGAGUCUCCGGACGACAUCUGACACUGAGGCACGAAAGCUAGGGGAGCAAACAGG
rnacentral:rRNA from 1 species